rnacentral:sRNA from 1 species
AAAGGACAAAACGAUAUUUCAUAUUUUUAAGGGUUAUUGGUCUAUCAUCUCUAAUCUUAUGGUUGGUUUGUAUUCGUUGUUGAAACAAAUAUUAAAGCUACCCAUGCAGAGUCUUAAUUUAAUAUAUCUUUCUUUCCUCAUAUGUAUAUAUGUUUACUAAGGGGGUGUUAUUCGUUUAUGAUUUUAAAAAAGUUUUAGUGAUUUAAACUGUUAUGUAAAAUCUAUUGUUAUUCAAUCAAGAUUUUUUAAAAGUAUGUUAAAUUUUUGUGUUAUUCAUUUAAGAUUUGUAAAAAGUAAUCUAAAAUCUUCAUAAAUUUUGGUUAUUAGAUUCAUACUCUUAUAAAGUCAUUAAAAGUUUUGUGUUAUUCAAUUAAAACAAAAGAAUCUUUGAUUGUUAAUGAUUGUUAAUGAUUUAAAUUAUUAUGUUAUUGGUUCAUGACUUUCUACAUUUUUCUUCACAAAAUAAAGUCAUGGAAAGUCAUGAAAAGUAUUAUCAAAAUAAAGAGAUUGUUAGAGAAACUUUACAAGAUUAUGAAAAACUAAUCAACAAGAUUAUAAAAUACUCUCUAACAAUCGUUUAAAAUCUUUCAUUUCUUUACUUUCUAGGAUUUGAUUGAAAUCAUCAAAAUUCCUUAUAAUUUGGAACCAAUAACACCCCCUAAGUUGGAAGAAAUAUAUAUUUUAAAUUUUAUAACAAUGGGCUUUGUGACGAUUUUAAG